UUUAUUGGAGAGUUUGAUCCUGGCUCAGGAUGAACGCUGGCGGCGUGCCUAAUACAUGCAAGUCGAGCGAAUGGAUUAAGAGCUUGCUCUUAUGAAGUUAGCGGCGGACGGGUGAGUAACACGUGGGUAACCUGCCCAUAAGACUGGGAUAACUCCGGGAAACCGGGGCUAAUACCGGAUAACAUUUUGCACUGCAUGGUGCGAAAUUCAAAGGCGGCUUCGGCUGUCACUUAUGGAUGGACCCGCGUCGCAUUAGCUAGUUGGUGAGGUAACGGCUCACCAAGGCAACGAUGCGUAGCCGACCUGAGAGGGUGAUCGGCCACACUGGGACUGAGACACGGCCCAGACUCCUACGGGAGGCAGCAGUAGGGAAUCUUCCGCAAUGGACGAAAGUCUGACGGAGCAACGCCGCGUGAGUGAUGAAGGCUUUCGGGUCGUAAAACUCUGUUGUUAGGGAAGAACAAGUGCUAGUUGAAUAAGCUGGCGCCUUGACGGUACCUAACCAGA
rnacentral:rRNA from 1 species